rnacentral:rRNA from 1 species
AUUGAACGCUGGCGGAAUGCUUUACACAUGCAAGUCGAACGGUAGAGGGGGCAACCCCUCGAGAGUGGCGAACGGGUGAGUAAUAUAUCGGAACGUGCCCAGUCGUGGGGGAUAACGUAGCGAAAGUUACGCUAAUACCGCAUACGAUCUAAGGAUGAAAGCGGGGGAUCGCAAGACCUCGCGCGAUUGGAGCGGCCGAUAUCAGAUUAGGUAGUUGGUGGGGUAAAGGCUCACCAAGCCCAAGAUCUGUAGCUGGUCUGAGAGGACGACCAGCCACACUGGAACUGAGACACGGUCCAGACUCCUACGGGAGGCAGCAGUGGGGAAUUUUGGACAAUGGACGCAAGUCUGAUCCAGCCAUUCCGCGUGCAGGAUGAAGGCCCUCGGGUUGUAAACUGCUUUUGUACGGAACGAAAAGGUCACUCUUAAUACGGGGGACUCAUGACGGUACCGUAAGAAUAAGCACCGGCUAACUACGUGCCAGCAGCCGCCGUAA